rnacentral:rRNA from 1 species
UACGGAGGGUGCGAGCGUUGUCCGGAAUCACUGGGCGUAAAGGGUGCGUAGGCGGUCGGGUAAGUCUGAUGUGAAAUCUCACAGCUUAACUGUGAAACUGCAUUGGAUACUAUCCGGCUCGAGGAAUGGAGGGGAGACUGGAAUACUUGGUGUAGCAGUGAAAUGCGUAGAUAUCAAGUGGAACACCAGUGGCGAAGGCGAGUCUCUGGACAUUUCCUGACGCUGAGGCACGAAAGCCAGGGGAGCAAACGGG